UACGGGAGGCAGCAGCUAAGAAUCUUCCGCAAUGGACGAAAGUCUGACGGAGCGACGCCGUGUGAAUGAAGAAGGCCGAAAGGUUGUAAAAUUCUUUUGCAGAUGAAGAAUAAGAAGAAGAGGGAAUGCUUCUUUGAUAACGGUAGUCAUGCGAAUAAGCCCCGGCUAAUUACGUGCCAGCAGCCGCGGUAACACGUAAGGGGCGAGCGUUGUUCGGAAUUAUUGGGCGUAAAGGGCAUGUAGGCGGCUAUGUAAGCCUGAUGUGAAAUCCUGGGGCUUAACCCUAGAAUAGCAUUGGGUACUGUAUAGCUUGAAUUACGGAAGGGAAACUGGAAUUCCAAGUGUAGGGGUGGAAUCUGUAGAUAUUUGGAAGAACACCGGUGGCGAAGGCGGGUUUCUGGCCGAUAAUUGACGCUGAGAUGCGAAAGUGUGGGGAUCGAACAGGAUUAGAUACCCUGGUAGUCCACACUGUAAACGAUGUACACUAGGUGUUGGGGCAAGAGCUUCAGUGCCAAAGCAAACGCGAUAAGUGUACCGCCUGGGGAGUAUGCCCGCAAGGGUGAAACUCAAAGGAAUUGACGGAGGCCCGCACAAGCGGUGGAGCAUGUGGUUUAAUUCGAUGGUACGCGAGGAACCUUACCUGGGUUUGACAUCUAGUAGAAGGUCUUAGAGAUAAGGCCGGGUAGCAAUACCCUGCUAGACAGGUGCUGCAUGGCUGUCGUCAGCUCGUGCCGUGAGGUGUUGGGUUAAGUCCCGCAACGAGCGCAACCCCUACUGCCGGUUACUAACAGGUA
rnacentral:rRNA from 1 species